rnacentral:rRNA from 1 species
GUGGGGUAACGGCCCACCAAGGCAGCGACGGGUAGCUGGUCUGAGAGGAUGUCCAGCCACACUGGGACUGAGACACGGCCCAGACUCCUACGGGAGGCAGCAGCUAGGAAUCUUGCGCAAUGGACGAAAGUCUGACGCAGCGACGCCGCGUGCGGGAAGAAGGCCCUCGGGUUGUAAACCGCUUUCAGAAGGAACGAAACUGACGGUACUUUCAGAAGAAGGUGCGGCCAACUACGUGCCAGCAGCCGCGGUAAUACGUGGGGUGCAAGCGUUGUCCGGAAUUAUUGGGCGUAAAGAGCUCGUAGGCGGUCUGUCGCGUCGGCUGUGAAAACUCAGGGCUCAACCCUGAGCCUGCAGUCGAUACGGGCAGACUAGAGUCCGGCAGGGGAGACUGGAAUUCCUGGUGUAGCGGUGAAAUGCGCAGAUAUCAGGAGGAACACCGGUGGCGAAGGCGGGUCUCUGGGCCGGAACUGACGCUGAGGAGCGAAAGCGUGGGGAGCGAACAGGAUUAGAUACCCUGGUAGUCCACGCUGUAAACGUUGGGCACUAGGUGUGGGACUCUAUCGACGGGUUCCGUGCCGUAGCUAACGCAUUAAGUG